CAAAAUGGGCAAAUUAGCCCAAUCAAUUUGAUAUGGUCGGCUAUUAGGGUGAGAAGUGUCAAACUUGGAUUAAUUACAAGUUUGCCACUCACAUGUGAUGAAGUAUAAAUUCAACUUUAUAGCUUUAUUUUCAUUUAGGGUUUUUCUUGGUGAAAUGAGGUGAAACAUUUUCUCUCAUUUUCUCAAAAGAGACCGGCCACCUAGGGAAGGAAUAGCUAGCAAUCUCUUCUUCCCUAAGUCAUCCAUUUCAUCUUCACAUCACAUCCUUGGUGAAGAGACUUAGAGACAUCAAGCAUUUGAUGUUUUGGAGAACAAAUCCUCAAAUCCUCAAAGAAGCAAAGGAGCACUGAAAGGAGGAAAAUCACAAGGAAGAUCCAAGGAGCAAGGAGGUGACUUGAAGGCCCCCCACUUGGGUGAAUCCCUUGUGUAAUCAAGGAUAAGCUUCAAGGGUAAAGAAACUCUAAAUCCUUUAUUCUCUUUAAUGUUGUUAAAGAGUUUGUUGGUUCACCAUAUACUAGGCUUUGAAAGUCAUGGGUUUUAUGAAUUGUUUUUGAAUGCAUGCCUACUUUAAUGUGUUUAUAGUUUGCAUAUGUAUUCAAAUAUUCUCACAUGUUCUUAGAUAGGACAAAAAUUUUCCUUCAGUUUGUUUAUUUUGUUUCAUGUAUAUGUACAUAUUUGUAAAUUAUCAGAGAUAUCAAUAAACAAGUUUUGCUCAUUUCAACGUAUUAUGUUAAAUACACCAAGGCCUUCUUCACUAAGUUCUUUGAAUUUUAUUCUUUUGUUGAAGCUUGUAUGUUGAAGCUUUUUGAGUGAAACAUGUGAAACAUGUAUGUUGAGGUAGUGCUCCCUUAAUUUCCCGAGUAAGGAAAACUUCUCGUUUGGAGACUUGAAAAAUCCAAGUCACUGAGUGGUCGUGAGACUUCUGAGUAUCAAGGUGUAGUAGCAUAUGGUAGGAGUCCCCCAAGUCUCCGGUCGAGGGAGUUGACGAAUGAGGCAUUUCCUUUCUAAGUGGUAGCCCAAAACUCCUCAUUCAUAUAUAUUUGUUAUGAAAGUUGUUAGGCCCAAAGAAGAGGAGGCCUAGGCAAAAAAAAAAAAUUUAAUUUUUUUUUUUUCAAAUUUUCGAAUUUCUGAAUUUUUGAAUUUUCGAAUGUUCGAAAAUAUAUAUAUAUUUUAAGCUUUGUAGGUGAAGCUUUGGUGUUCAAGCUUUGUAGGUGAAGCUUUGAGGUUGAAGCUUUGUUGGGUACCAUGAAUUGAUUUUGCUUCACACUAUCUUGAUCAAGAUAGUGUGAAGCUUUUGUAGGUGAAGCUUUUGUGUUGAAGCUUUGUAGGUGAAGCUUUUGUGGGUGAAGCUUUUGUCGUGGGUGAAGCUUUUGUUGGUGAAGCUUUUAUGGGUGAAGCUUUUGUAGGUUUGUGGUGGGUGAAGCUUUUGUUGGUGAAGCUUUUAUGGGUGAAGCUUUUGUGGUUGGUGAAGCUUUUGUGAGCUUUUUGUUUGUGGUUUUGUGUUUGAAGCUUUUGUGGUGGGUGAAGCUUUUGUUGUGGGUGAAGCUUUUGUGAGUGAAGCUUUUGUGGUGGGU
rnacentral:lncRNA from 1 species